GCACGAGCCUCCUUUGCGAGCUAUCCCUGCGAGAAUUGAGUUCCUCACCCUCAAUUCGAGUGAAUUCCUAGCACAAACAUGCCUCUCGCAGGUCCCCAGGGCUUCAGCUUGGGAAAGCAGUGGGUCCCUGCAGAGAAAUGGAGCAGCUGCUGUGCCAGACACUGCAAAACACACCUGGCUUCUCUCCGACAGCCCUGCGGGUCGAGAGGACUGGCGCUGCCUGUGUCUUACUGAAAUUUAUUUUCGUGUAACCAUUUACUUUUAUGUGGAAAUUGAUAAGCUUUUGAUAAUAGUAGCAAAGCAGGAAGGACUGAGUGGGAACUACAAGCCAGUUGAAAGAAAAUACAUGACGUACUUGAGUGCUCAGGACUGCGAGCUGAUUCAGGUUGUACAGAAUGGACACUUACAGAUGUGUGGAAAAUCUGAGACAGGAAAUGAAGCCUCACCAGGACUGCCAAAAAGAGCAAGAUCCUGUCCAAGGAAGAACAGAAAGUGGUUGCGUUUCAUGAGUCAGGCCACGCCUUGGUGGGCUGGAUGCUGGAGCACACAGAGGCCGUGAUGAAGGUCUCCAUAGCCCCUCGGACGAACGCCGCCCUGGGCUUUGCUCAGAUGCUCCCCAGAGACCAGCACCUCUUCACCAAGGAGCAGCUGUUUGAGCGGAUGUGCAUGGCCCUGGGGGGACGGGC
rnacentral:sRNA from 1 species